AGAAGAAACAAAGACUCAGGAGACACAGCGGUUUGCAAAUAAGUUUUCUAAAAUUAUACAAGCUGUGUUACCAAACUAAAGUAGGUACAGUAUUUCCCUUUGGAUGUAGUUGUCAACAACAACAAAUGAAAGUAAGGAACACAAUCAGAGAGAUAAAAACCUCAAAGUUAAUCUCUAGUGAUCUUUCCAAGUUUCAAGUUAGCACAUCAACUGGAAAAGAAUCAUUAUCAUAUUCGUGUUUCAUCCAUAACAGGUGUACUGCAACCCUCGAGUAAAUCACCAGAGCAAGGGUCUCAAUUAUGAGUAGUUUUCAAUGUAUCCCCUUAGUCCCACUC